rnacentral:rRNA from 1 species
UACGUAGGGGGCAAGCGUUGUCCGGAAUCAUUGGGCGUAAAGAGCGUGUAGGCGGUCCGGUCAGUCGGUUGUGAAAGUCAAGGGCUCAACCCUUGAAUGCCGGCCGAUACUGCCGGGCUAGAGUCCGGAAGAGGUGAGUGGAAUUCCUGGUGUAGCGGUGAAAUGCGCAGAUAUCAGGAAGAACACCCGUGGCGAAGGCGGCUCUCUGGGACGGUACUGACGCUGAGACGCGAAAGCGUGGGGAGCGAACAGG